rnacentral:rRNA from 1 species
UUCGAAGCAACGCGAAGAACCUUACCAGGUCUUGACAUCCCACUGCCCGGUAUAGAGAUAUACCUUUCCCUUCGGGGACAGUGGUGACAGGUGGUGCAUGGUUGUCGUCAGCUCGUGUCGUGAGAUGUUGGGUUAAGUCCCGCAACGAGCGCAACCCUUGAUCUUAGUUGCCAGCAUUUAGUUGGGCACUCUAAGGUGACUGCCGGUGACAAACCGGAGGAAGGUGGGGAUGACGUCAAAUCAUCAUGCCCCUUAUGACCUGGGCUACACACGUGCUACAAUGGAUGGUACAAAGGGCUGCAAGACCGCGAGGUCAAGCCAAUCCCAUAAAACCAUUCUCAGUUCGGAUUGCAGGCUGCAACUCGCCUGCAUGAAGCUGGAAUCGCUAGUAAUCGCGGAUCAGCAUGCCGCGGUGAAUACGUUCCCGGGCCUUGUACACACCGCCCGUCACACCACGAGAGUUUGUAACACCCGAAGUCGGUGGGGUAACCGUAAGGAGCCAGCCGCCUAAGGUGGGACA